AUGGCGGCAGGCAGGAUGCUGGAGCUCCUCGUCUUCUUCUCCACGGCCGGCAGCUUGCUUCUCGACUUGGCGGCGGUGCUCGUCUGUAUCCUGGCUGGUCCAUACUACCCGACGUUUAGGCUGCCCAACCAGUUGAUGUGGUGGACUUCCUUCUGCGGUGCCGUCCCGUGGGGUGCCGUGCUGCUGAUGUUACAGGUCAACUGCUGGUGUCACGGCUGGGAGGCCACCAACGUCGACCUCCUGGUCCUGAGCGCCGUGGAGUGGGUCGUCGCGUGUUCCACCUUCGGCUCAGCGUGUGCCGCCCUCGCCGUCGACCAUCUCGCCGUCCAGAACAACUAUUGCGGCCCGAGCGCCGCCGUGUGCUCAGUGUACCUUGUCGCCGCCGCGAUCUCAUGCGCCGCCGGGGCUCUCGCCGCCGCGUCGGCCUUGGGGAUGCUCUGGAUCCUCGCCUCCCGGUUCCGCCCAGUUCACGCGGCCUAG
rnacentral:rRNA from 1 species